UACGAAGGGGGCUAGCGUUGCUCGGAAUCACUGGGCGUAAAGCGCACGUAGGCGGAUUGCUAAGUCAGGGGGUGAAAUCCUGGAGCUCAACUCCAGAACUGCCUUUGAUACUGGCGAUCUCGAGUCCGGGAGAGGUGAGUGGAACUGCGAGUGUAGAGGUGAAAUUCGUAGAUAUUCGCAAGAACACCAGUGGCGAAGGC
rnacentral:rRNA from 1 species